GCUAAACGCGAAGAACCUUACCACCUUUUGACAUGCCUGGACCGCCAGAGAGGUCUGGCUUUCCCUUCGGGGACUGGGACACAGGUGCUGCAUGGCUGUCGUCAGCUCGUGUCGUGAGAUGUUGGGUUAAGUCCCGCAACGAGCGCAACCCUUGAUUCUAGUUGCCAGCACCUCGGGUGGGCACUCUAAAGGGACCGCCGGCGACAAGCCGGAGGAAGGUGGGGAUGACGUCAAGUCCUCAUGGCCCUUACGGCCUGGGCUACACACGUGCUACAAUGGUGGUGACAAUGGGCAGCAAAGGAGCGAUCCUGAGCUAAUCUCCAAAAGCCAUCUCAAUUCAGAUUGUACUCUGCAACUCGAGUGCAUGAAGCUGGAAUCGCUAGUAAUCGUGGAUCAGCAUGCCACGGUGAAUACGUUCCCGGGUCUUGUACACACCG
rnacentral:rRNA from 1 species